GGGGGGUUGGUCCGGGAUUUACUGGGCGUAAGGGUGCGUAGGUGGAUAUUUAAGUCAGAUGUGAAAUCCCUGAGCUCAACUCAGGGCCUGCAUUUGAAACUGGAUGUCUGGAGUGCGGGAGAGGUAAGUGGAAUUCCUAGUGUAGCGGUGAAAUGCGUAGAGAUUAGGAAGAACACCAGUGGCGAAGGCGACUUACUGGACCGUAACUGACACUGAGGCACGAAAGCGUGGGUAGCAAACAGGAUUAGAUACCCUGGUAGUCCACGCCGUAAACGAUGAGUACUAGGUGUAGGGGGUAUCGACUCCCCCUGUGCCGCAGUUAACACAAUAAGUACUCCGCCUGGGAAGUACGAUCGCAAGAUUAAAACUCAAAGGAAUUGACGGGGGCCCGCACAAGCAGCGGAGCAUGUGGUUUAAUUCGAAGCAACGCGAAGAACCUUACCUAGACUUGACAUACCCUGAAUUACUCGUAACUGAGGAAGCUUUUCGGAGCAGGGAUACAGGUGGUGCAUGGUUGUCGUCAGCUCGUGUCGUGAGAUGUUAGGUUAAGUCCUGCAACGAGCGCAACCCUUAUCAUUAGUUGCUACCAUUCAGUUGAGCACUCUAGUGAGACUGCCCGGGUUAACCGGGAGGAAGGUGGGGAUGACGUCAAAUCAUCAUGCCCCUUAUGUCUAGGGCUACACACGUGCUACAAUGGUGAGUACAAAGAGAUGCAAUCCCGCGAGGGGGAGCCAAACUUAUAAAACUCAUCUCAGUUCGGAUUGUAGGCUGAAACUCGCCUACAUGAAGCUGGAGUUGCUAGUAAUCGCGAAUCAGCAUGUCGCGGUGAAUACGUUCCCGGGCCUUGUACACACCGCCCGUCACACCAUGAGAGCUGGCAACACCCGAAGUCCGUAGUCUAACCGUAACGAGGACGCGGCCGACGUGGGGUUAGUGAUUGGGGUGAAGUCGUAACAAGGUAAC
rnacentral:rRNA from 1 species